GUGCCAGCAGCCGCGGCGGUAAUACGGAGGGUCCGAGCGUUAAUCGGAAUUACUGGGCGUAAAGCGUGCGCAGGCGGUUCGUUAAGCGAGAUGUGAAAGACCUGGGCUCAACCUAGGAAUCGCAUUUCGAACUGACCAACUAGAGUCUUGUAGAGGGGGGUAGAAUUCCAGGUGUAGCGGUGAAAUGCGUAGAGAGCUGGAGGAAUACCGGCGGCGAAGGCGGCCCCCUGGACAAAGACUGACGCUCAUGGACGAAAGCGUUGGGAGAAGACAGGAUAAGAUACCCUGGUCGUCCACGCCG
rnacentral:rRNA from 1 species